rnacentral:misc_RNA from 1 species
GAUGAAGAACGUAGCGAAAUGCGAUAAGUAAUGUGAAUUGCAGAAUUCAGUGAAUCAUCGAAUCUUUGAACGCACAUUGCGCCCGCCAGUAUUCUGGCGGGCAUGCCUGUUCGAGCGUCAUUUCAACCAUCAAGCCCCCCGGCUUGUGUUGGGGACCUGCGGCUGCCGCAGGCCCUGAAAAGCAGUGGCGGGCUCGCUGUCACACCGAGCGUAGUAGAUCUCAUCUCGCUCAGGGCGUGCUGCGGGUUCCGGCCGUUAAACCACCUUCAUAACCCAAGGUUGACCUCGUAUCAGGUAGGAAGACCCGCUGAACUUAAGCAUAUCAAUAAGCCGGAGGA